UACAGAGGGGGCAAGCGUUGUUCGGAAUUACUGGGCGUAAAGGGCGCGUAGGCGGCCUGUUAAGUCGAACGUGAAAUCCCUGGGCUCAACCCAGGAACUGCGUCCGAUACUGGCAGGCUUGAAUUCGGGAGAGGGAUGCGGAAUUCCAGGUGUAGCGGUGAAAUGCGUAGAUAUCGGGAGGAACACCUGUGGCGAAGGCGGCUUUCUGGGCCCUACCUGACGCUGAGACGCGAAAGCGUGGGGAGCGAACCGG
rnacentral:rRNA from 1 species